GAUGAACGCUGGCGGCGUGCUUAAUACAUGCAAGUCGAAUGGACAGGCCCGGCUCUUGCGGGGUGCUCGUGUGGCGAACGGGUGAGUAACACGUGUGUAACCUGUCCCUGUCUUUGUGAUAACUUCUGGAGACUGGGGCUAUAACCGGAUAGGAGCUCUUGCUGCGCGGUGGGGGUUGGAAAGUUUCGGCGGUGGGGGCUGGACUCGCGGGUUAUCCGCUGGUUGGGGGGGUAGUGGCUGGCCAAGGUUUUGACGGGUAGCCGGCCUGAGAGGCUUACCGGCCACAUUGGGACUGAGGUACGGACCAGUAUCCUACGGGAGGCAGCAGUGGAAAGUAUUGCGGAAUGGGCGGGAGCCUGAUGCGAAAACGCCGCGUGCGGAAUGACGGCCUUCGGGUUAUGAACCGCUUUCGCCUGUAACAAAGCGUUAUUGACGGUAAUGAGUAAAGAAGCACCGGCUAACUACGUG
rnacentral:rRNA from 1 species